CCUGUUGUUGUGCAUCUAUGAGAAAAAUCCAGCUCUGUGGGAUCAUCCAUACACCUGCACUGCCAAGCAAUAUAAGGGAAUCACAGCUGAGCAAAUAUAAAUAAAGCUCCUCUAAAGACAAGGUAUGAACUACAAGGCUAAAGGAUAUUUGCAGGCAGAUCUUCCUCAGGAGUUUUUCUGGAAGCAGUUUAAAAUGAAAUAUGAAGUUGAUCCCAUCAAUGGACAGCAAUACUUUUAUUGUCCCAUCAGAAGUCGAAAAGGACCCCAACAGCACCACAGGGGAUAGCACCAAAUCCUUGCAGCAGCAGCUCAUUUAAAAGCAGUGGUACUGCUCACCUACCUCUUGCCAUCCUGGCAAAGGGAGAUGGACUUGUCAUGCUCCUCGAAGAACCUGGGCUACUGAUGUAAACUGAUGGUGGUGUUGGAAGAAGAGCAAAGGCACCAGCUGCUUCCAAAGCCAAAGCUUAGCACAAGAAAAGCAGAAGGGUAGCUGAUGCCAUCUCUCCAAAGAGGCUGACGUCUAUUCACCUGGAUGAAGAUAAGCU
rnacentral:lncRNA from 14 species